rnacentral:rRNA from 1 species
GACGAACGCUGGCGGCGUGCUUAACACAUGCAAGUCGAGCGGUGAACCACCUUCGGGUGGGGAGUCAGCGGCGAACGGGUGGAGUAACAACGUGGGCGAACCUCGCCCCUACGCACCUGGGAGUAAACCCCGGGAAACCCGGAGGACUAAUACCGGAUACGACUCCGAGCGGCAUCUCUUGGAGUGGAAAGAUUUAUCAGCUAGGGA